rnacentral:rRNA from 1 species
GAUGAACGCUGGCGGCGUGCCUAAUGCAUGCAAGUCGAGCGAACAGACGAGGAGCUUGCUCCUCUGACGUUAGCGGCGGACGGGUGAGUAACACGUGGAUAACCUACCUAUAAGACUGGGAUAACUUCGGGAAACCGGAGCUAAUACCGGAUAAUAUAUUGAACCGCAUGGUUCAAUAGUGAAAGACGGUUUUGCUGCCACUUAUAGAUGGAUCCGCGCCGCAUUAGCUAGUUGGUAAGGUAACGGCUUACCAAGGCAACGAUGCGUAGCCGACCUGAGAGGGUGAUCGGCCACACUGGAACUGAGACACGGUCCAGACUCCUACGGGAGGCAGCAGUAGGGAAUCUUCCGCAAUGGGCGAAAGCCUGACGGAGCAACGCCGCGUGAGUGAUGAAGGUCCUCGGAUCGUAAAACUCUGUUAUUAGGGAAGAACAAAUGUGUAAGUAACUAUGCACGUCUUGACGGUACCUAAUCAGAAAGCCACGGCUAACUACGUG